AAAAAAGGUAAGCUACUAAGAGCGAAUGGUGGAUGCCUUGACUGGUAAAGGCGAUGAAGGACGUACUAGACUGCGAUAAGCUACGGGGAGCUGUCAAGAAGCUUUGAUCCGUAGAUUUCCGAAUGGGGCAACCCAAUGUAUAGAGAUAUACAUUACCUAUAUAGGAGCGAACGAGGGGAAUUGAAACAUCUUAGUACCCUCAGGAAAAGAAAUCAAUAGAGAUUGCGUCAGUAGCGGCGAGCGAAAGCGUAAGAGGGCAAACCCAGUGCUUGCACUGGGGGUUGUAGGACUGCAAUGUGCAAGAGGUGAGUUUAGCAGAACAUUCUGGAAAGUAUAGCCAUAGAGGGUGAUAGUCCCGUAUGCGAAAAACAAACCUUAGCUAGCAGUAUCCUGAGUAGGGCGGGACACGAGAAAUCCUGUCUGAAGCUGGGUCGACCACGAUCCAACCCUAAAUACUAAUACCAGAUCGAUAGUGCACAAGUACCGUGAGGGAAAGGUGAAAAGAACUGAGGUGAUCAGAGUGAAAUAGAACCUGAAACCAUUUGCUUACAAUCAUUCAGAGCACUAUGUAGCAAUACAGUGUGAUGGACUGCCUUUUGCAUAAUGAGCCUGCGAGUUGUGGUGUCUGGCAAGGUUAAGCAAACGCGAAGCCGUAGCGAAAGCGAGUCUGAAUAGGGCGCUUAGUCAGAUGCUGCAGACCCGAAACGAAGUGAUCUAUCCAUGAGCAAGUUGAAGCUAGUGUAAGAACUAGUGGAGGACUGAACCCAUAGGCGUUGAAAAGCCCCGGGAUGACUUGUGGAUAGGGGUGAAAGGCCAAUCAAACUUCGUGAUAGCUGGUUCUCUCCGAAAUAUAUUUAGGUAUAGCGUUGUGUCGUAAUAUAAGGGGGUAGAGCACUGAAUGGGCUAGGGCAUACACCAAUG
rnacentral:rRNA from 1 species